UCCAGCUUUUGGAUGCUGGUGCUGUGAAGGGUGGUGGGUGAGGGAGCCAGCAGCUGAGUGGGCAUGGGGAAUUGCAGUUUUCCUUCUAGCCUUAUUUUGGAAAAUGCUAAACUUACAGGGCAAUGGCAGUGGCCACCAGUGAGUGUCGGUGAGUCCUUCACCUCCACGGGGCUCCCCUCUUGGCCGUGAGUGUGCAGGCCUGGGGCAUGUGCAGGCUGGCACUUCAGUCUCUGAAACCCUGCGCACUGAGGGGUCAGUCAGCUGGGCAGAGGGACCGCCAGGGCCACCCAGGGUCUGUCCUGACUGCCCACGGCCCUGUGUCUCAGCCCUGGUGCGCGUUCCCGCCCUCUUGCACGCCCGGAUCUGGAUGUGAAUCACACAGGUGUGCGGGCAUCGGGUGGAUGGGCCAUUUCUCCUGGGCCAGACUGAGCUCUGACCUGGGUGUGAACCUAGCAGCAGACAUCCCCUGUAGGACAGUGGCCUGGAGCAGGCCCCUUGCAGGGCCUUCAAGGCAGGGCCAGCCCCUCAGACACAGCAGGGAGGCUGGUGAUGACCUGGGCUCCAGGUUCUCAGCUUCAUCUGGACCAACUGUGCUGUUCUAUGUGAGUCCUGGGGCCCUGACCGAGUCUGGGGCUCCCUUCCUAGCAGACACUCAGACCUCGCCCAAGAGGCUUUGAGACUGACUUCCGCCCAUAUCCCUAGAUGUUCCUACUACGGGGGAUUUAUUUCUCUCUGUUUCAUUAGCUUCCUCUGUCCCUUUAGCCACGAGCCCAGCCCAGGUCUUCCUGCUGUGGGUCCCAGCUCUGAAAGUCACGUUGAAUCAUGGCCAUGUUAGGAACUGGAGAAACCUAGGGCUCAGGGUACAGAGUUUCACUAGUUGGGCUUCUGUGUUGGGGCCUCCGUGGGCUGGCUUUGUGGCUUCAGGAGUCCUUGACGCUUGUUCUCAAUGUGGGGGUGAUAUUGACCCUGAGAGGGCACAAGGGGUUCUUGGGGGAGGAAACUUCUGGGGUUUGGCGGCCGUGUGUGCCUCCCCAGCACAGCUCCUGGAUUUCUUGCUCCUUAGUAUUUCAUUGUCCCUGGGUUUUCUGGGUGUCCCAGCACAUGGAUACGGAGUUCUCGGAAGCCCGCGACACAUGUGCGAUCUCAGACCUGCUGUGAGGUGGGUGGGGAGGGUGGGCAGGCGCCUGCGGAUGCCGUUUGUGUGGGAUCCUCAGUGCUGGUGUGAGACUCUGGCUUGGAGAAUUGAAUGAGAAUCGUCGACAUUUUGUGAUUUAAUUCCACAGAACGUAUUUAGCCCAUCGCUAAUGAUGUCAGUUUGCUGAAAGAAUACCAGCCAGCCAGUUAAAAGGUACUUUCUCACAUCAAGCAAAAGCUUCAGUUCACUAAGGAUAUUUUUUAUUGUGUUUAUAUAAGUUGUUUAUUUCUACGUGUGAUUUGAUACAUUACAAUUUAUGUAAAUAAAUUACACUCAGCGCUGCUCAGCGCAUAGUCAUGAAGUGCUAGAAGCAUUUUAGUUUUUAAUUGAACUUCGUUCGACUUAGUUAUGCUAACCUGGCGUUAGCGCUGAGACUCGUUGAGCCUUGCUUGCAGUGUUUACAUGCCAAGUGCAGGUGCAUGCGUGGCACACAGACACAAACAGCACCUCCACAGCCUCGCAGCGUCAUGGGGUGGGAACGGUGAGAAGGUUUAAAAAGGCUCCGCAGGGGGCCAGUCAUGGAAGUGGCCAGGAAACCCUGGUCUCCUGCCGCCUGCGUGUGGCCAGCCGUGCUUCAGGGGCGACUGUGGUGCGGCUCCUUGGGGUGAUGUCUCCUGGCAGGCGUGAGGCCAGGACUGCAUGUGUUCAGGACUCCACGUCCUGGGCUGAGCUGGGCUCUUCCGGGGCUCUGUCAAGGCAGAAAGUGUGGCCCAAGGAAGCAGCGGCACUCUCAGUCGGAAACGUAUUCCUAACAGGUGUCGGGCAGAAAGUGUGGCCCAAGGAAGCAGCGGCUCUCUCCGUUGGAGACGUGUCACCAACAGGAAUAUUCACAGUGGGUGUUUAAUUUGUGUGCUUAAAAAGAAAAAUUAGCUUUGGAUUGACUACACACAUUGCAUGACAAAAAAGAAGAAUUAAGACUUUAUUUCUGUGCCAAAACUAAAACUUAGACUUGAAGAGAAAUUGUUUUAAAUAGAAGUGAAUGUUGGAGACCUCUUUUCUUUCGUGUGGAAAGGUACGCUGCAGUGGUUUAGAGCUCUGGCGUCAGUGAGGGAGGAAUGGUCGUCAGUCACAGGCUUGCGUCGUGAUCCUCUGAGAGCGGCACAUGGGGGAGGAGAAUCAGCAAUUCCAAGAAAUUUGAAGUUACAUUUUAAAACUAUAUUUAAAACAGACUAAUAUUUAUAAAAGUAGCUUUUAUUUUCAGAGAAGAUAAAAUGCUGUGAGCUCUGUGGGAUGAGAGCCCUACCCUGUCCUUUUUAUUUUAAAAGUAAUUCACGAAUGUUUUUAAAAAGUUUCUAAAAAUAACUAGCAGGAUAUAAAAGUAUAAAUAAAUUGAAAUAGAAUCUUCCCUGCCUGUUUCCCUCGAGUUCCAUUCCUGAAUGCUCCUCCAGAGUUGGUGUCGACAGAGGCCUCCUUAUGGCUCCCUGCAGCAGGUCGUGCCGCACCUCCGCCUCCGCCUCCGUCCCCCGAGUCUCCAUGUGUUCGCGGCAGGGACCGCCGGCUCCUGUAAUGAGCAGUCCCACUGUCUUUAACGGACACCUAAAGAGUGCAGAGCAAGGAGAUGGAGCGCUGGACGCCUUCAAAUACCGGGACAACCAGGAUCCAGAGCAGCGAGGGACCCACAGUGCUCCCUCAGAGGCCUCUGGACCCCACGCCCACACGUCCCUGUGACCACCCACACCCUCCCCCGACUGGCUUCUCCAUGCUGCUGUCUCCGGGACAUGAGUCGCCUGUCUGUCCCCCACGUGUGGCCAGGAGGGCAUGAGCCACCUGUCUGUCCCCUACGUGUGCCCAGGAGGGCACGAGCCGCCUGUCUGUCUGCCAUGUGUGCCCAGGAGAUACGGUGCUUUUCCUGCCAUGUCCUCAGAGCUGUGCAUGUGGCACACAGGAAGCAGUUGUCACAAAUAAACAGGAAUUUGGCCUGUG
rnacentral:lncRNA from 1 species